GACGAACGCUGGCGGCGUGCCUAAUACAUGCAAGUCGAACGCACAGUUUAUACCGUUGCUUGCUACACAAUAGACUGUGAGUUGCGAACGUGUGAGUAACGCGUAGGUAACCUGCCUGGUAGCGGGGGAUAACUAUUGGAAACUAUAGCUAAUACCGCAUAAUAUUUAUUAUUGCAUGAUAAUUAAUUGAAAGGUGCAAUUGCACCAAUACCAGAUGGACCUGCGUUGUAUUAGCUAGUAGGUGAGGUAACGGCUCACCUAGGCGACGAUACAUACCCGACCUGGGGGGGUGGUCGGGCAAACUGGGACUGGAACACCGCCCAAACCCCCUAGGGGGGGAGCAGUAGGGGAAUUUCGGCAAAGGGCGGAAGUCCGACCGGGGAACGGCGGGGGGGGGGAGGAAGUAUUCGGGUUGGAAAAGUCUGGUUGUAAGGGAAGAAGGAUGGGGGAGUAGAAAGUCCACGCAGUGACGGUACCUAACCAGAAAGCCACGGCUAACUACGUG
rnacentral:rRNA from 1 species